CUUGCUUUUCCGCCGGCGACCGGCGCACGGGUGCGCACCGCGUAUGGAACCUGCCUUGUACAGGGGAAUAGCCCAGGGAAACUUGGAUUAAUGCCCCGUAGUACCGUAUUUCGGCAUCGUUAUACGGUUAAAGCUUUCGGGCGGUACAAGAUGGCCAUGCGUCCCAUUAGCUGGAUGGUAAGGUAACGGCUUACCAUGGCUACGAUGGGUAGGGGCCCUGAGAGGGGGAUCCCCCACACUGGUACUGAGACACGGACCAGACUCCUACGGGAGGCAGCAGUGAGGAAUAUUGGACAAUGGAGGGGACUCUGAUCCAGCCAUGCCGCGUGCAGGAAGAAUGCCCUAUGGGUAGUAAACUGCUUUUAUACGGGAAGAAAAAGAGCUACGUGUAGCUUACUGACGGUACCGUAAGAAUAAGGACCGGCUAACUCCGUGCCAGCAGCCGCGGUAAUACGGAGGGUCCGAGCGUUAUCCGGAAUUAUUGGGUUUAAAGGGUCCGUAGGCGGGCCGAUAAGUCAGGGGUGAAAGUCUGCCGCUCAACGGUAGAACUGCCUUUGAUACUGUCGGUCUUGAGUUAUAGUGAAGUUGCCGGAAUAUGUAGUGUAGCGGUGAAAUGCAUAGAUAUUACAUAGAACACCGAUUGCGAAGGCAGGUGACUAACUAUAUACUGACGCUGAUGGACGAAAGCGUGGGGAGCGAACAGGAUUAGAUACCCUGGUAGUCCACGCCGUAAACGAUGGAUACUAGCUGUCCGGAACCUUGAGUUCUGGGCGGCCAAGCGAAAGUGAUAAGUAUCCCACCUGGGGAGUACGUUCGCAAGAAUGAAACUCAAAGGAAUUGACGGGGGCCCGCACAAGCGGUGGAGCAUGUGGUUUAAUUCGAUGAUACGCGAGGAACCUUACCAGGCUUAAAUGCAUAUUGACAGGGUCAGAGAUGACUUUUCCUUCGGGCAAUUUGCAGUGCUGCAUGGUGUCGUCAGCUC
rnacentral:rRNA from 1 species